GGAGGCUCCCCUCCGAGGACAAGGUCGGGGGCACCUGGAUGGCAUGCAGGGGGUCAGGGGUUCGAGUCCCCUCAGGUCCACCA
rnacentral:tRNA from 1 species